CUCCUUCCGGUUUCCACUAACCCGGGUGGAUUCUUUUGUUCAUCAUUAGGAGUUCUGCAAGGCAAAGUGAGGAACGUUGUGUUUCCAGCUGAAGAGGAUCAGCUGUGGGCGUCAACAAAAUGCCGACGGUAACUAAGAGGGAAUGUCCUGUCCCUGCAGUUUACCCAACAUUUUAUCAAACAGAAAACAUGGCAACAUUAAUGCUGCUUUAAAGAAUGGAAGAAAAACUUCAUUUCUGAUUCUACGCUUCUUCGUCGUCAACAAAGCUACUGUUCGGGCCAGACAAUUGGCUUUCAAGGCUCCGAGAGGAACUGUUUUCUUCACACCCCAUGGUGAAUAGGCGUCCGGUUUCUUUCUGUGAUGACUGCGCUGUGUCUGCAUCACAACUUCGCUGAC